rnacentral:rRNA from 1 species
CGCGUCUUGGUUAUUGAUGUUGGAUGCUUGCAUUUAACUGAUUUCCAUUGAGACGAGUGGCGAACUGGUGAGUAACACGUGGGUAACCUGCCCUUGAAGUAGGGGAUAACACUUGGAAACAGGUGCUAAUACCGUAUAACAACCAAAACCACCUGGUUUUGGUUUAAAAGAUGGCUUCGGCUAUCACUUUAGGAUGGACCCGCGGCGUAUUAGCUUGUUGGUAAGGUAACGGCCUACCAAGGCAAUGAUACGUAGCCGACCUGAGAGGGUAAUCGGCCACAUUGGGACUGAGACACGGCCCAAACUCCUACGGGAGGCAGCAGUAGGGAAUCUUCCACAAUGGACGAAAGUCUGAUGGAGCAACGCCGCGUGAGUGAUGAAGGGUUUCGGCUCGUAAAACUCUGUUGUUGGAGAAGAACAGGUGUGAGAGUAACUGUUCACAUCUUGACGGUAUCCAACCAGAAAGCCACGGCUAACUACGUGCCAGCAGCCGCGGUAAUACGUAGGUGGCAAGCGUUGUCCGGAUUUAUUGGGCGUAAAGCGAGCGCAGGCGGUUUCUUAGGUCUGAUGUGAAAGCCUUCGGCUUAACCGGAGAAGUGCAUCGGAAACCAGGAGACUUGAGUGCAGAAGAGGACAGUGGAACUCCAUGUGUAGCGGUGAAAUGCGUAGAUAUAUGGAAGAACACCAGUGGCGAAGGCGGCUGUCUGGUCUGUAACUGACGCUGAGGCUCGAAAGCAUGGGUAGCGAACAGGAUUAGAUACCCUGGUAGUCCAUGCCGUAAACGAUGAGUGCUAAGUGUUGGAGGGUUUCCGCCCUUCAGUGCUGCAGCUAACGCAUUAAGCACUCCGCCUGGGGAGUACGACCGCAAGGUUGAAACUCAA